ACACCUCAACUCUCGUGGUCUUCCAUGAUGAGCUUGGACUCUGGAGGUUUGCUGGCCCUGUGGCCGGCUCCUCUCAAAUGAAUCAGCUUUCCGACGUUCGGUGGCAUCGCAAGCAUGAUAACUAUCUAUGCUCGUGGUCGUCUGCCGGGUAACCCUCAGCAAUGGAGGUUCGUUGGGGCUUAUAAACGUCUCUCCUCGGCGAGGACAACUUUUUGAAU
rnacentral:misc_RNA from 1 species